CAGUGUUACAGCUCUUUUAGAAUUUUUCUAGCAGGUUUUCCAGUCCUCGCCGGAAGAUCCCC
rnacentral:snRNA from 1 species